ACGCUCGACACCUACGGGAGGCNGCAGUUGGGAAUAUUGGACAAUGGAGGAAACUCUGAUCCAGUGACGCCGCGUGAAGGAAGAAGGUCUUCGGAUUGUAAACUUAUUUUGUCAGGGAAGAAAAAUGACUGUACCUGAAGAAAAAGCACCGGCUAACUACGUGCCGGCAGCCGUGGUAAUCUGAGCGGGCUGGCAAGGC
rnacentral:rRNA from 1 species